CUCGUUUUUCCUUCUUUCCUUCCUUCUUCCUGCUAAUCUGUUAUAGAUAUCGAAUGGCAGUAAUGAUUUAUGUUGUUCUCUUGCAGAAAGGCAUUGAAAAGAAAGACACCGACUUCUUAUUUUUUUAUUUGUUGUAAUUCUU
rnacentral:ribozyme from 14 species